rnacentral:misc_RNA from 1 species
GUAGGUGAACCUGCGGAAGGAUCAUUACAGAGAAUAUCGCCCUCGCGGGUGACUCUCCAACCCUAUGUUAUUGUACCUUUGUUGCUUUGGCGAGCCGCUUCGGCCACCGGCUCGCGCUGGUGAGUGCUCGCCAGAGGACCCCAAACUCUGAAUUAUUAGUGUCGUCUGAGUACUAUAUAAUAGUUAAAACUUUCAACAACGGAUCUCUUGGUUCUG